rnacentral:lncRNA from 1 species
GUAUGUCAGCCUUCCGUUGCAUUAUAGAAAGGUGCGAGCAGCAGAUUGGAGCUUUUUAAUCAAAAAGAUCGAGAAAAAAUUGAGCUCCUAAAAAUGUUAAAUGCUUCACAUAAGAGGCCGACUAAUUCUGACCAAUGUAGUCUUAGGAGAUAUCCCAUGUCAUCAAGGAUCUUACCAGCACAAGUUAUCAAAACAGGUGAUUCAAGAAGAAGAC